ACUUUAUCAUAUAUUUUGGUUCAAGCCAUUGAACAAAACUGAUAUAAAUGUAACCUUUUUCUUUUCUAAUGAUUCAGAUAAUGCACAUAACUUACUCAAAAACUUGAGUACACUGAGUGAGUCAUCAACAAUGCAUGAUAUGGAAGAAGAAGAAGAACAAGAUGAAGGAAUAGUUGAAAGAGAGAACAAAGGGAAACAAAACAUGUUGAUUGAAAAAGAUGAAGAACAUAGCAAAUGGACACAUAUCCCUAGUGAUAUUCUGGAAAUGAUAAUGAAGCGUUUGAAUCUGAUAGAUUUCCUUCGAACUAGUGUAGUGUGUUCAUCUUGGAAUGCUACCUUUACUCAAGCCAUUGCAAACAAGCAUAUCAAACCAUUACCUGAAUUGCCAAUUGUAAUCCUGCAAUCGCAUAGGAUUUCUAUAUCAGCAAGCAGUGUUUUGAGCAUCAAAUUAGAAGAAGUAUGUUCUGUCAUAAACGAAAACACAAUGCUACUUGAAAGUCACCAUAGAUAUCAUGGCAUAGUUGAAGGAUGGAUGAUUUUGAGUAUUUCUCUUUUUGUUGGUAUUACCAACAUCAUCUUUUUCUUCAAUCCAGUUACCAGUGAUGUAGUACUUGUCCCUUUACCUUUGAAAUUUCCAUCAAACUCUCCUAUCCCGAGUAGAUCAAAUUUGAAAAUGGGAAGAAUGGUGGCAUCUUCUAGUCCUAAGUGUAAAGAUUGUGUUCUGGUUUGUCUCUUUACUGAUUAUGCCCACAUUGCAUAUUGUAGAGUUAAUUAUGACAAAUCAUGGACUAUGAUUGAAGCAAAGGGGGAUGCAUGGAAUUUUCUGGAUGUGGAAUUUUUCAAUGGUAAAUUGUAUGUUAGAACUUACAUGGCAAGCACUUCUAUGUUAGUUUAUGAUCUGCAAGAUUCUACUGAUAAUCCUCCAAAUCCUAUAGUAUUAGGUGAGAUUCCACCAAUAAGGCCAUUAACAGAGUCAAUGACACAUGAAAAUCAAAUUUAUGUUAAGGGUGAUGUCAUUCGAUUUCUAACAAUUGGUUAUGCAGCAGAAGAGUUACUGCUCGUAUACUUGUACAACAAUUAUGUUUCUGAAAGUGGUAAUGUUGGCUAUAUGAAUGUUAUCAAGCAAUAUGCAAGUCCCCCUCAAGUUACCAAAUGUGAAGUGUUCAAAUUAGACACAAGAAGUAAUGAGUGGGUGAAGCUUGAUCACUUGGGUGACAGAAUGAUAUUUCUUGGAUAUAAUAAGUCCUAUGUAAUGUCAAGAACAUUACUUAAUUGCAAUGGAGAGUUAACUACAGAGAAUAGUGUCUAUUUUGCUCUUUACUUACCAUGUCCAGAACCAUGGUUGAAUCCUCAAUUGGGGAGGCUUUGCAUGACUGAUAACACGAUCAAGUACUUUCCUAUGGAGGAUUUUUCAGUUGAACUAGAUGCUUGCCCUUCCUGGUUCUUACCAAGUGCUUGGUAAUUCAUUCUUUUGCUGCUUACAUUUGCUUUAGGUUUCACCAUUGUCAUCUAUGAAUUGAUUGAUAUAUUUUUUUGUAUCAUACAUUUUCAUUUUCUUUAUAAUCAAUAAACAUGUUAGAUAUGCUUAUGAAAAAAAUAAGCUUCAUUUAACUCAUAAAAAUAGUUUGGCCCUCCUAUAAGCUUUUCGUCUAUCUUAUUUCAAAAUAGGGGAUGCAUAUUUUGGUUGUUUACCAAAAACACCAUUAAAUUGUUCAUGGCUUAAAAGUAUUUUAGCCAAAUCAUACUGAAUUUGUAGAAUCAUCUGAACCUUAGAGUCUUUGAAAACCAUCCCCCGUGCUAAAAGUGGCAUAAUAAUGUAGAAAAAGAAUCACAUAAUUUGGCAUUAAACUCGUUGCAGAUCGCUGUUUUGAUGCAAAAUAUAUGGUAUGAUAUGCCGUGCAAGGAAGUUAAUAAUCCACAAAAAGAGCAUUCAAUUGUAAAGCUAAAAAAACAAGAGACUUAUCUGAACUCUUCCUUCAACAACCAUUCUUUUUCAAGCUCUUCCUCCAGUUUUCUCUGCAGAAGAUCCAGUUCUGCAUCAGUAGUAAUCUCACAUCUAGCUUCCUCUGUUUUUUGCUUGCAUGCAUCAAUUUUUUCCUUAUAAUCUGAUUCAUCUAAGCACAGGUCAAAUGCAUAAUACAAUAAAGAGGAUCUGCUCAUACUCGAUAACAUGAACAUUAACUAGUAGAAAAAGGGUAGAGUUUGUAGUGGAGUUCUUUUAGAUCAUAAUAGACGGCAUGCCAUACUUAAGCUACUUCCACCCGAACCACAAGCAAACUUUCCAGCAGCAUCUUUCCAUUUUCCAUUAUCAUUCCUUAUGCACUCAUACUAAAUAACUCAAAAAGGCAUUGUAGUGAAACCAUGUAAAUCAGUAGUAGCAGAAUAAAACUAAAGGGAAACGAAUUGAAGGCAUUGUAGUGUUGCUUCAGAAAUCAAUCUUAAGGAGUUUUUAUUUAUUUUUAAUGGUGCUAAAAAUGAAUGAUAUCAUUGAUCCAUAUUAUAGAUAUUCGACAAAGUUUUACAUUAAUUGUCAACUGCCUACCACAAGAUUCACCAUCUAUAGCAUCAAGCAUACAGGUAGGUCAAGAAAGAUUUAGAUUUAGAGAUCAAUGCUUGGCAGGAGAAUAUUACUUUGAAGAUUAAGAUUGAUAAUAGAAGUUGAGAAUAAUCUUUCUCUCUGUCAAUUUCUCUAUUCUAUCUAGAUUUUCCUAAACCCAUAUCUCCCCUCCUCAUCACAAACACAUAAAUUGUAAUGGGAAAAAUAAUAAUCAACAACACAAGCAUAAUAAUUACAAAAAUGGAAACUUUGAUGCAAAAUAUUAAAUUCACACACUUAUUUUUAAACAACACAGAAGCAGGAAAAAGAACACAAAAUUCAUUAUAAAAUCCCCAAAUUUCGGCACGUUACUAAUUUCAUUUUAAAAACUGAAAGAAUACCGAAGGGAAAAGGGAAAACAAUGAAGAAGACCUUGAAGCAAAGAGUGAAGGUUAUUGAAAUCGGAGUGGAUGGUUGAAGAGAGUGAAACGGUGCGUUGCAGAGUGUGAGUUAGGUUAUCGACGUCACGCUUGUGUUGCAAUAACUUAACCACGUCGAUGUUUGUUGACAACAAUUCUCUCAUUUUGUUUCCGUUGGUUGGGUAGAGAUUGAAGGAAAGUGAGCAAUGGAAGUCUUAAUUUUGUUGACAAUAUUAUUUUGCCACAUGUUAUCCCUG
rnacentral:lncRNA from 1 species